CCAAGCAGGAUUAAAUAUCUCAGCCUGACAAGUUACGAGAUAAAUUGAAAUUAAUUAGGCGUUGCUCUCGCUCGGUGGUUCGGUGGCGGUUGGAAGGGAGGCGAGGCCACGGGUCGCCGCCGCAGCCGCAGCCUGGCUGUCCGGGAGCCAGGUCGGGGUUUGAGCUGAUCGACCUGCAGAGCAGAACCACCUUAACGGUUGCUCAGUCUACUCUGCGAUCCACCAAAGAAUUGAAAAUGUUCCUCCAAAGAGUAAAAUGAGCUAAGAUCGGAUUCCGUGAUCAAGCAAAGCAAAGGGAUCUCUUCGUCCGUGGAGGAAGCCUCCGAUUUUGCCAAUUCUAUUUCUGUAAGCUAUUAAUUUCCAGAGGAUUAGGAAUGCUGCCGGUGUAUAGUAACGUGCAAACCAUUUUCAGAUGGAGCUGUUAUUCUAUUUUUUUUAUAUAUAUAAAAAAAGAUAUUUAUUUAUGACAUGCCGUUCUCAUUCAUGCUCUCAGGAGCCCAGGUUGAUUGUAUCUUCGGAACAUACUGCCCGUUGCAUUUUAAGAACAAUACUGUGAUUAUUCUUAAUGCAAAACACAUCUCUGUUUCAUGGAAAACCAUCACCGUCCAUCAUUUUUUGAUAGCCUGUAAACCUCCAAAAAAGUUUAUAUAUGUUGUGAUGCGCCAGAGGCCUGCGGAACUGGCAGCAGAGUUGGACAGUGAAGAGGCUGCGGAGGACGAUGGGCCAGUCCUGGAGUCUGGGGAAGGUUCAAACGAGGGUUCUGCGUCGGAGGCAGAGAAAGGGCUAUCUGGGAGGUACGUGCUGCCUCCGGAGCCUCCAGAGUCUGACCUCAGCGAGGCAGAGGAACAGGAGGAGCCUCUUCCUAGUGAGUGCAUGCACAGAGCUGUCAGAAGGCAAGAACAGUUAAAACAAAAGGGACGACUUGGGAGUAAGGCUUGGAGAUGAUUGGCCUCUCCCAUAAGACUUAAAAGAGGAGCAAAGGCACGUGGGCCUUUGCAGGAAGCAACGUUGUUAAUUCUGUUCAUUUUAAAGCCUGAAGCUCUGUUUGAUUCUGGACUCCGUGUGGCUUUGCCAAUGAGGUCUUUGGCAGCGUGUCAAGGGAGAUCAAGGUGGGUGAUUAUCCCGAAGGACGCUUUACAACUAUUUGGGACUCAUCUGUGAAUGAACAGAAUUCACAGCUUUUGCAAUAAAAGAGGUUUUUCGGACUA